rnacentral:rRNA from 1 species
CCAGCUCCAAUAGCGUAUAUUAAAGUUGUUGCGGUUAAAACGUUCGUAGUUGAACUUGUGCUUCAUACGGGUAGUACAACUAUAAUUGUAGUUUGUACUGUACCUUAUGUAUGUAAGCGUAUUACCGGUGGAGUUCUUAUAUGUAUUAAAUACUUGUAUUUAUGCAUAUUCCUCCUAUUUAAACCUGCUUCAGUGCUCUUCAUCGAGUGUUGUUGUGGGCCGGUACAAUUACUUUGAACAAAUUAGAGUGCUUAAAGCAGGCUCCAAAUGCCUGAAUAUUUUGUGCAUGGAAUAAUGAAAUAAGACCUCUGUUCUACUUUCAUUGGUUUUUAGAUCAAGAGGUAAUGAUUAAUAGAAGCAGUUUGGGGGCAUUAGUAUUACGACGCGAGAGGUGAAAUUCUUGGACCGUCGUAAGACUAACUUAAGCGAAAGCAUUUGCCAAAGAUGUUUUCAUUAAUCAAGAACGAAAGUUAGAGGUUCGAAGGCGAUCAGAUACCGCCCUAGUUCUAACCAUAAACGAUGCCAGCUAGCAAUUGGGUGUAGCUACUAUCAUGGCUCUCUCAGUCGCUUCCCGGGAAACCAAAGCUUUUGGGCUCCGGGGGAAGUAUGGUUGCAAAGCUGAAACUUAAAGGAAUUGACGGAAGGGCACCACCAGGAGUGGAGCCUGCGGCUUAAUUCGACUCAAC